UCCGCGCAUGCCCGAUUGGCCCUGGCCGCUCGGAUUUAAAAUCCGUGUUCCAACGGGCGGCGGAGCGGCAAAAGAGGGUAUGCUUCUACGGGGGUCGCGUCGUCAAGGAGUGCGCGUUUAAAGGUGAUGGAAAAACUCGGGAAGCUAGGAACCUGAUGUCUGCAGAGGUUCGUGCUGAUUUUCAACACGCGGCAUUCCUGACCCACACAAGGCCAGAUGAAAACAGCACAGAUUUGGGAAUAUGAAAGAAAAGAGGAUCUCCCCUCAAAAAUAGUUGUGGACUCAGUGAGACGUCCUCCCAGACCAGCCUGUGGUAGUCUGUCAGAAGCACAUGGCAAUCUUUCAGCCUUGCUUGGCAGUUUCUCAGCCUGGCAUGACAGUAUUUCAGCAUGCGAGUGGGUCCUGUCUUGGCAUGUUCUGGAGACAACAUGAGGAGAUUGGGAAGGCGGCAGCUUCAGGAGUGGAAGAAGUGAUGGCAUUACGGCCAAACAUGGGAAGAGCGAACGGUGAGGGUUGUCCCCUGGUAUCUGUGGCAUCGGCGUCAAGAAUAGGCAGCUGAAAUCUCCACAAGAGUGAGCUAAGCGGAGGACUCAACAAAGACUGUUGAACUUUGAACUUUAUUUCUUUAUUUUUUGAUGUAUUCUACGAAGGUGAUGCUUAAAUUUUUAACUUUGUUUCUUUUAGUACUUUGUACCUCAGCUUUUUUUGUACCUAGCUACCUUUGUACCUAAGAUGGUGCCAUGUGUGGUGACAUUAUGCAUGUUGCAUUGCAGUCUGAGACUUUUGUACUUGAGU